rnacentral:lncRNA from 1 species
AGUGCGAGGAAAUAAAUAAAGUAAAGCGAGUGCGAGGAAAUAAAUAAAGUAAAGCGAGUGUGAGGAAAUAAAUAAAAGUAAAGCGAGUGCGAGGAAAUAAAUAAAGUAAAGCGAGCGCGAGGAAAUAAAUAAAGUAAAGAGAGUGCGGAAAAAUAAAUAAGAUAAAGACAAGUAAUAAAAACCUGCUCCAAUCGGAGGGUUGAAUAAAUUGCAAAGCGGAAAU